CAGGGGUAGGGGAGCGUCCCGACCGGGAGAAGGGUGACGGUAACGACACCUGGACGGAUCGGGAGUGAUUAUGCCGGAAUAAGUAGCGAUAAAGCAGGUGAGAAUCCUGCUCGCCGAAAACCCAAGGUUUCCUGGGCACGGUAAAUCCGCCCAGGGUUAGUCGGACCCUAAGGCGAGGCCGAAAGGCGUAGUCGAUGGACAACGGGUUAAUAUUCCCGUACCGCUAACUGUUUGUUUGACUGAUGGGGUGAAGCGGGGAGAAGCGUGGUCGCACAGACCGAUGUGCGUGUAAGCCCGAGGGUGGCACGUAGGCAAAUCCGCGUGCAGAAGCCUGGAGGUGAUGCCGAGCGCUUUGCGCGAAGCCACAGUACCGACCGUCGAGAAAACCCUCUAGGGAGAACAGAAGCGUCCGUACCAAAACUGACACAGGUGGGUGAGGUGAGAAUCCUAAGGCGCUCGGGAGAACUGCUGUUAAGGAACUCGGCAAAUUAACCCCGUAACUUCGGGAUAAGGGGUGCCCUAAGGUGUGUAGGUUCUAGCAACUGAAGCAUCUUGGGGCCGCAGAGAAUUGGUCCAAGCAACUGUUUACUAAAAACACAGGUCUGUGCUAACUCUUAACGAGGAUGUAUACAGACUGACGCCUGCCCAAUGCCGGAAGGUUAAGGGGAGUGGUUAGCGCAAGCGAAGCUGUGAACCGAAGCCCCGGUGAAUGGCGGCCGUAACUAUGACGGUCCUAAGGUAGCGAAGUUCCUUGUCGGGUAAGUUCCGACCCGCACGAAAGGCGUAAUGACUUGGACGCUGUCUCAACAGCAGGCUCGGCGAACUUGAAGCUGUGGUGAAGAUACCACAUUCCCGCAUUAAGACGGAAAGACCCCGUGAACCUUUACUUCAGCCUGAUAUUGGGCUUUGAUGCGCAGUGCGUAGCAUAGGUGGGAGGCGUUGAAGCGGAGCUCUUGGGCUCUGUGGAGCCACCAGUGAAAUACCACUCUCUGCGUAUUAGAUUUCUAACUCGUCUGCGUGAAUCCGCGGCGAAGACAGUUUCAGGUGGGUAGUUUGGCUGGGGCGGUCUCCUCCAAAAAGGUAACGGAGGAGCGCGAUGGUACACUCAGUGCGGUUGGCAAUCGCGCGCAGAGCGUAAGGGUAGAAGUGUGCCUGACUGCGAGAGCUAUAACUCGAGCAGAUACGAAAGUAGGUCCUAGUGAUCCGGCGGAUUCCGAGUGGAAGGGCCGUCGCUCAUCAGAUAAAAGGUACUCCGGGGAUAACAGGCUGAUCUCCCCCAAGAGUUCAUAUCGACGGGGAGGUUUGGCACCUCGAUGUCGGCUCAUCGCAUCCUGGGGCUGAAGGAGGUCCCAAGGGUUUGGCUGUUCGCCAAUUAAAGCGGUACGUGAGCUGGGUUUAGACCGUCGUGAGACAGGUCGGUCCCUAUCUAGUGUGGGUGUAGGAUGAUUGCGGAGGUUUUCCCCUAGUACGAGAGGAUUGGGGAGGACGAGCCUCUGGUGCUCCAGUUAUCACGCGAGUGGUACAGCUGGGUAGCUAUGCUCGGAACGGAUAAGCGCUGAAUGCAUCUAAGCGCGAAGCCAUCUCCAAGACGAGUCAUCCCAAUGAGCUCCCUGGGAGACGACCAGGUUGAUAGGCCGGCGGUGUAAGCACAGUGAUGUGUUCAGCUUACCGGUACUAAUCGGGCCAUUGGCUUAACC
rnacentral:rRNA from 1 species